UGGAGUCGCGAAACAAACCUUUGGACCA
rnacentral:sRNA from 1 species